AAGCCCUUUAAAAUGAGCUAAGCGAUGCGUUUAACUUUAGGAAGCUUACCUCCUCCACGUUGGGUGUCAUGUUAGGCCCGAUACAAAGACGCUGUUUGUUCGGGCUCUUAAGCGUUCGUACGGCACCGAGGAUUCCGCUCAGCACCGGAGAACUUGUUUUUUUUUUCUUUUUUUUUUUUUUUAAAAAAGAGAGCUAUAUGAAUCCAUCGGUGCUGGUAGCGUUUCAAGGGAUCUACUCAAUCUUACCGCAGCCUGUUCUCUAGAAUGAGCAAUGUUCCCAGCUGUGAAAGCCCAACUCCUCCAGCAUCAGCAUUACCUCCAUCUAUCCAACAUUUGAGCGGAGAUCUUUAUCUCGGUCAAGGUCAUGGUAGAUCUGAAGAACGUUUGGUGUGAGACCACCAGGCAGUUUCCUUCAAAAUUACUGGAAUUUUACCGGUAUUGCUCAAUACCUUGACGAGUACCAGCGGUGAAGCGUUUGAUCAUCUUGUGACCGUGACCCUAUAUACAUAGGCAGCCUACAAAAGACUGCAGAUGUACAGAGUUGUAAACAAAACAUGACAGUGUCUAUUGGAUUCUCACUGCAGAGUGUGGGCUCUGAGUAGGUCAGGAUAUUGGAGAAGCCUCUCUAUGGGACUGGUCAUAGCGAAGACUGUAACAGGGGAAGGAGUUUGGGGGAUGAAGGUGAGGGCAAUAAGUGACACCGGUGCACAAUCAUUCCAGUGGCGUAGAGAACCCGUAUCCUUUCUUCCCUGUGUGUUUUCCUUCAUCUGUGUGUGUUUCCUAGUGAGUGUGAACGGCAAUGGGAUUUGCUGUUUGUAUUUUCUCCAUGCAAUGAGAAAAUAAAUCCUGAAGUGCAUGUUGUUUAUGUCCAGUGAUCUUGUUUG